rnacentral:rRNA from 1 species
AGGCAGCAGUGGGGAANAUUGGACAAUGGGGGCAACCCUGAUCCAGCCAUGCCGCGUGUGUGAAGAAGGCCUGANGGUUGUAAAGCACUUUAGUACAUGAGGAAGUGACGCUCAAGAAUAUAGGGCGUCAUUGACGCUAGUCUAAGAAUAAGCACCGGCUAACUCUGUGCCAGCAGCCGCGGUAAUACAGAGGGUGCAAGCGUUAAUCGGACUUACUGGGCGUAAAGGGCGCGUAGGCGGAUAUUUAAGUCAGAUGUGAAAUACCUGGGCUCAACCGAGGGGAUGGCAUUUGAGACUGGAUAUCUAGAGUAUGGUAGAGGGGAGCGGAAUUUCCAGUGUAGCGGUGAAAUGCGUAGAGAUUGGAAAGAACACCAGUGGCGAAGGCGGCUCUCUGGACUAAUACUGACGCUGAGGCGCGAAAGCAUGGGGAUCAAACAGGAUUAGAUACCCUGGUAGUCCAUGCUGUAAACGAUGAAUACUAGCCGUUUGGGUAGCUGAUGGCUACUUGAGUGGCGCAGCUAACGCGAUAAGUAUUCCGCCUGGGGAUUACGGCCGCAAGGCUAAAACUCAAAUGAAUUGACGGGGGC